AGAUGGUAAUUGAUGAAAAUAUCCCUUCCUAUAUGAAAGGUAGACUAUGACGGCAAGAGAGAGAUUGAUCAGCGUGGGAGAGAGAGAAAGAGCGAUAAAGAGAGAGAGAGAGAGAGAGAGAGAGAGAGAGAGAGAGAGAAAGAGCGAUAAAGAGAGAUUCAAAUUGAGAUCGAGAUCUAGAUUGAGAUCCAUAUGUAGUUCGAGACCAUUGUAGGCCAACAUAUUUGGAGUCCUCAAUUGGUUAACAAAAUCAUUUGAGUACAGUGGCAAUACUUUUAUUUGGUGCUGACUGGUCUCUAACUACUCGGCCUUCCCGCUUUAGAUUGAUUUGAAAGAAUUAUCUAACUAUUUAUUAAUGAAGAUACUACAUGUUGAUACUUGCUACGAAAGAAAUUUUAUCUAGAGUGAUGAAGUGUAGCUGCUAAGAUACUCAAGGUUCUCAGACUUGGAUCAUUCUGAGUUAGAUUUAUGAGUGAUUUGUAAUAGUUACUUCGUUAAAAAGCAUUAAAGGCCAUUAGACCGAGCUACCAUAAUACAAAAUAGAGGUGCUUAUGGCUGUAGACUGCGAAGUUGAGAGGCAAUGUAGUUUGACAAGUAUUUGUAGAGUAAUAAAAUUGCAAAUAUUAUUAUCAAAUACUUAAUACUUUUGAUGAAUUGCUAUUGGUGGGCAAAAUACUGAGAUAUAGUUUUGAAUUGUUAUUGGUUAGAAUUGUUUAAAUGCUUAAUUUGAAUAAGAUC